CCUACGGGGUGCAGCAGUGAGGAAUAUUGGUCAAUGGACGAGAGUCUGAACCAGCCAAGCAGCGUGAAGGAUGACUGACCUAUGGGUUGUAAACUUCUUUUAUAAAGGAAUAAAACGAGGCACGUGUGCCUUUGAGCAGGUACUUUAUGAAUAAGGAUCGGCUAACUCCGUGCCAGCAGCGGCGGUAAUACGGAGGAUCCGAGCGUUAUACGGAUUUAUUGGGUUUAAAGGGAGCGUAGAUGGGUGGUUUAGUCAGUUGUGAAAGUUUGCGGCUCAACCGUAAAAUUGCUAUUGAUACUGGCAGUCUUGAGUACAGUUGAGGUAGGCGGAAUUCGUGGUGUAGCGGUGAAAUGCUUAGAUAUCACGAAGAACCCCGAUUGCGAAGGCAGCUUACUAAACUGUGACUGACAUUGAUGCUCGAAAGUGUGGGUAUCAAACAGGAUUAGAUACCCCAGUAGUC
rnacentral:rRNA from 1 species